rnacentral:rRNA from 1 species
CCUACGGGAGGCAGCAGUGAGGAAUAUUGGUCAAUGGACGAAAGUCUGAACCAGCCAAGUAGCGUGAAGGAUGACUGCCCUAUGGGUUGUAAACUUCUUUUAUAUGGGAAUAAAACAGGGUAUGCAUACCCUCUUGUAUGUACCCUAUGAAUAAGGACCGGCUAACUCCGUGCCAGCAGCCGCGGUAAUACGGAGGAUCCGGGCGUUAUCCGGAUUUAUUGGGUUUAAAGGGAGCGUAGGUGGAUUUUUAAGUCAGUUGUGAAAGUUUGCGGCUCAACCGUGCAAUUGCAGGUGAAACUGGCAGGCUUGAGUGCGGUAGAGGUGGGCGGAAUUCGUGGUGUAGCGGUGAAAUGCUUAGAUAUCACGAAGAACUCCGAUUGCGAAGGCAGCUUACUGGACUGCAACUGACGCUGAUGCUCGAAAGUGUGGGUAUCGAACAGGAUUAGAUACCCUAGUAGUA